rnacentral:lncRNA from 1 species
GUGUAGUUCUCUCCUGGCUGAACUGCCUGUCUGUGUAGUUCUCUCCUGGCUGAACUGCCUGUCUGUGUAGUUCUCUCCUGGCUGAACUGCCUGUCUGUGUAGUUCUAUCCUGGCUGAACUGCCUGUCUGAGUAGUUCUAUCCUGGCUGAACUACCUGUCUGUGUAGUUCUAUCCUGGCUGAACUGCCUGUCUGUGUAGUUCUAUCCUGGCUGAACGACCUGUCUGUGUAGUUCUAUCCUGGCUGAACUACCUGUCUGUGUAGUUCUAUCCUGGCUGAACUGCCUGUCUGUGUAGUUCUAUCCUGGCUGAACUGCCUGUCUGUGUAGUUCUAUCCUGGCUGAACUACCUGUAUGUGUAGUUCUAUCCUGGCUGAACUACCUGUCUGAGUAGUUCUAUCCUGGCUGAACUGCCUGUCUGUGUAGUUCUAUCCUGGCUGAACCGCCUGUCUGUGUAGUUAUAUCCUGGCUGAACCACCUGUCUGAGUAGUUCUAUCCUGGCUGAACUACCUGUCUGUGUAGUUCUAUCCUGGCUGAACGACCUGUCUGAGUAGUUCUAUCCUGGCUGAACGACCUGUCUGUGUAGUUCUAUCCUGGCUGAACUACCUGUCUGUGUAGUUCUAUCCUGGCUGAACGACCUGUCUGUGUAGUUCUAUCCUGGCUGAACUACCUGUCUGUGUAGUUCUAUCCUGGCUGAACUGCCUGUCUGUGUAGUUCUAUCCUGGCUGAACUGCCUGUCUGUGUAGUUCUAUCCUGGCUGAACUACCUGUAUGUGUAGUUCUAUCCUGGCUGAACUACCUGUCUGAGUAGUUCUAUCCUGGCUGAACUGCCUGUCUGUGUAGUUCUAUCCUGGCUGAACUGCCUGUCUGUGUAGUUAUAUCCUGGCUGAACCACCUGUCUGAGUAGUUCUAUCCUGGCUGAACUACCUGUCUGUGUAGUUCUAUCCUGGCUGAACGACCUGUCUGAGUAGUUCUAUCCUGGCUGAAUGACCUGUCUGUGUAGUUCUAUCCUGGCUGAACUACCUGUCUGUGUAGUUCUAUCCUGGCUCCUGGCUGAACUGCCUGUCUGUGUUGUUCAGUUAGACAGGAGGUAAUGUAGUAGUUGAACAAGGACACUGUUAGACAGGAGGUAAUUUAGUAGUUUAACAAGGAGACAAUGUUAGACAGGAGGUAAUGUAGUAGUUGAACAAGGAGACACUGUGGGACAGGAGGUAAUGUAGUAGUUGAACAAGGAGACACUGUGGGACAGGAGGUAAUGUAGUAGUUGAACAAGGAGACACUGUUUGACAGGAAGUAAUGUAGUGGUUGAACAAGGAGACACUGUUUGACAGGAAGUAAUGUAGUGGUUGAACAAGGAGACACUGUUUGACAGGAGGUAAUGUAGUAGUUGAACAAGGAGACACUGUAUAACGCAUAAUUUAUAAAAUGCAUAAUUUUAGUUGAAAUGAGUUGUGAGGGGAAUGUGAUGACAAAGCCUUGUAUGUAUUUAGAAUGCUAAUGACGAGUGGUGAGCCAGGAAGGAGGGAGAAGGACCUGUGAGGCAUAGAAACCACACACACACACACACACACACACACACACACACACACACACACACACACACACACACACACACACACACACACACACACACACACACACACACGGCCUGUGAGGCAUAGAAAAGCCACCUCUCUGCUCUGCAUCUCUCCUCCUCCUCCUCUCGGACGGGCUGAAUUAGCAAGCCAAAUGUAGAGCAAACAAAAUGCGCUGGUUUCUGAAUUUGGGACGCAGGACAGAAGAGGAGAGGAGAAGAGAUCUGCAUUGCGAUCAGUUGAAACUGCAGCCCUAGAUCAGUUAAUUAGACAGGGAGUAGCUUGUAUUAAACAUAUCUGACCCUACCUGAACACUGGUCUGGGAUCAGAUCACCUGGAAUGGUAAUAGACAGGAAGUAGCUUAUAUUAAUCAUCUCUGACCCUACCUGAACACUGGUCUGGGAUCAGAUCACCUGGAAUGGUAAUAGACAGGAAGUAGCUUGUAUUAAACAUCUCUGACCCUACCUGACCACUGGU